UCACUGUUAGGGAACCUCAGGGUUGGGGGGCUCCCGAUAAGCUGAACCAACAGGACUCUUGCUAAGGGCAGCUACGGGGGUGAGACACCCCGGAGGGCAGGGGGGCGGGGGGUAAGGACCCUGAUCAGACAUGGAGGUUGGGGAUUCUCUCCACACUGACACAGCAAGAUCGUCAGCAGGGCUCUGCCCCAGUGGAGACGGAGCCCAGGGUGGGGCCUCGUGGAGCGGAGGUCAGGGUAGCCUGACUCAAGCCUGGUCCAGAGAGAAUCUUCGUCAAUAUGAAUGUGUGAGGGAAAGGGGAAGAUAUCUGGGGGGGGCAGGGUGCUCCUGAGAGGACUCCAGUGGCUGGCUGUCCAUGUACCAGAACCCUGCAGCCUCUCUUUCUGAUCUAUGGCUCAAACCCUCUAAAUCUCCAGAAAGGGCGUGGUUCUCAUUCACAGCUGCUGGCCAAAAACCCCCAGGCCAGCCCAACAAAGGCUGCGGAGGGCUCUGGUGACAGCCCCGCCCUACGCCCUGGGAUGUACUGACGAACUCAAGACCUUCCAGGGAGCUCUUGGUCCAGUAGGGAAGCAAGGCAAGCUCACAGAUCAUGCGGCAAGACAGAUCCCCACUGCCCACCACGGUCCUAUGGAGAGGGAGAGGUUGGUUCUGAUUAAGGCGGGGCCUGGGUGUAGGGCAGAGCAUCCCCAACAUUCUCCCCACUCCCUCACCUCUCUCUCCUUUAGGGAACCACCCUUCCCACUGCAAGGAUGGGUGGGUGGGGAGGGCAACGCUACGGACCAGAAGCUCCAACUCCAGACCCAACCCAAGUCCAUUCCUGAGAUUUCAUACCUGGAUGCUGGGAGAUGGAAGUCCUCUCUCAUGCUUAGAGCAUUAGGGUGUAAGAUCCUUGCUGUCUGUGCCCUUGUGCCCCUGUUCCCAUGUGUCCCUGUGUAGUGGAGUGGGGCAACGCCAAACUGAUCACACCCUAGUGGCAUCUAUGAAGCUCCUAGAUCAAACAUCUCCUGAAGGUAUCCCCCGGAAUUCUUUAGUUGUGUGAGCAAAUAAAUUGUCCUAUUUUAUUUAAGCUGAGAUGAGUUGGUUUUUGUCCCUUGCCAUGGAGAGAAUCCUGUUCAACAUAGGGGAUCUAAAUUACGUUUAUGGAGGAGGCAUCACUGAAGCGGGUCUUUAAGCAGUGGGGGUCUGGCGAGAGAAGAGGGAAUCCAGACAGAGGACGAUUGAAGCUAAGGGGUGGCCGGGGAAGUUGAGAGCAUAGGUGAGCCCCCCUCCCCUGCUUUGCUCUUCACAGUAUUCUGCUUGACUCAGCAUAGUGGGCACGCCACAAAAUCAGUGACUGAUGAGUGUUCGGUUGAAUGCGGAACACAACUAGAACACUGUGCUCACAGACGCCUGGAAAGACAGGUUUGGAAUCCUCGGGCAUCGCCAUCCGUCCCAGCGAAUUAGCCCUGAGAGCAAGUGGCUAACGGCUCCCUGGCCAGAGACAUGUAGCCCCAAGCUUGGUUUCUCCCCGCAUGCCCCGUAUGUAGAAAACUGCCCAGGACGUGGGAUCCCACCGGACUCCUUCCAGGUUCACGAACCUUCCUGAAGGGAACAUCUCACUUGAAAUCAAUAAUGACAAACCAACUCCAAGUCAGCUCUUUUGGGUGCCAGCAACCAAGAGGAAGAAACAGAGGCUCAGAGGGGAUGAACCUUGACUGCGACUGAACAGUGCCAGGACGUGCGCCCAGAUCACUCUGGCUCCGAGCUCCGCCAACCACUUCUCACCGCUUCACCAGGCAAAGGGGUCCAAGCUGUCCAACACCUGCCAGAAGCCAUCAUCGCUGAGCCACUACCCUGCCCCCGGCCCCGCUCCUCCCCUCGUCCUCCUGUCUUCCCCGGCUAGCUUCCGCACAGCUGACGGAAUUCUCCUUUCAAGUAUGAGCCUCCCCAGGAAAAGACAUCAAAGUCCUUGCAGGGACCACGGAUCUGAACUAGCCAUCUCACCCCUCCCUCGGUUCACAGUAGACUCGCCCGUCACGUGCAAGCACACGCCUCCCUCGGCUGGAACGCUGGUCCCCUCACUUGCUGCAGGCUUCACGUGGAGGGGCCUGGGCCUGCCCCUGCCCUGGGAGCCUGGGUUCUAACGGGCCUGGGACUGGCCUGGGCAUGGGGUCUGAAGCUCCUGGUGGCUCAACUGUGCAGCUGAGCUGAGGACCGAGGCUCUAGCCCCUGGCUGUCUGGAAGGCAGGAGCCCAGAGCUCCUUGGCUCUCCCGGUUCUCUCUCUCUCUCUCUCAUCAGCAAACUGAUGGCUCACAUCCCACUGAUUAAAGCGGAUGAGACAGGAGGGCCCUUCUGCCAAGGACAACCAAGCAACCAACCAUCCCAUCCAGCAGCCCCAAGGCUGAGUUACCGGCGGAGGGAAUGGCUCGGGGAGGCGGGAAGAGCUGUGGGCUGGUGGGUUGUGCUCCCGAGUCGGGGCCUCUCCUGUUCUCUGCUUGUCACUGGAAAAGUUGUGUGCCUUUGGGCAACUACCUAAACCAUCUCAUCUUUUUUUUUUUUAAUUUUUUUUAAAGAUUUCAUUUAUUCAUUUCUACAGAGCACAAGCAGGGGGAGCGGCAGGGAGAGGGAGAAGCGGGCUCUCCACUGAGCAGAGAGCCCGAUGUGGGGCUUGAUCCCACGACCUGAGUGGAAGGCAGACAAUUAACCGACUGAGCCACCCAGAUGCCCCAACCAUCUCAUCUUUAAAACGGGACCAUCAUGGUCCCCAGUCGUGAAGGUUAAAUGUGGCAACAACAUCUGUUGGGGGUUCAGCACAUUCCUGACACAUCGGAGAAGCUCGAAGCCUGAGCAGCACAAGGCCACGAGCUCCUGGGGGCGGCUUUCUGGAGUUUGUUCGGCACCCGGCCCCUCCCCGUGCUCAGACAUGAGGCUGUGAGCUCCGUGAGGGCAGAAAUGGGUCUGUCUUAUUGCUGUGACUCCAGCACUUGGAACACAUGCGUGGUAACAGAGGACAUGGAACAUCGAACGUGAAGACUGUUUUCCUGGACUCACUUCUCCCCUGGGAGCCCAGAGUACCACUGUCCUCACGGAUUGGUGUGCGCCAAGUUCAAACCCAAGUCAGCGUGCAUGGCUCCCAAGCAGGACCCAGAAGACAGGAGCUGUCUGUGACAACUCAGACAAUGUUACUGCAGGUGGGGGCUCGCACGCCAGAAACUGCAUUAACAUUUGACAGCCACGGAAUUUUCAUGGCAAACCUCCGAGGGGGGUAUGACUGUCCUCCCACUUGUCAGGGUCCAUCCGUUCUGAUCCUGGGCGGAGACCCAACGGAUGGAUGUACAUGUGUGCACAAAAGCCACGCGCAAGAGCUUCACCCCGGCACUAUUCACAACAGCCCCGCGCUGGAAACAGCGCAGUGUGUGCCCCUGUGGAAAGGGUGCGUCACGGUGUCCUUCGUACCGCGGAACCGUGCUCACAUCCAGCCACACGGAGGAAUCUCGCACGCUUGGAGUGACGUGGAAGAAACCAGACAGCCGAGUGCACCUGCGGUAUGGCUCCGUCUACAUUCAGUUCCAGAAGGGACAAGACACGUCCAUGGGGACAGAUGUGGGGCGGGGGGGGGACUGGGAUGGGGCGGGAGGCUUCUUGGGCUGGAACACCAUGGUCUUCACGGCGUGGUCACCUUGCAAAGGCUCACGGAGCCCAACGCGUGCUUCUGGUUUGCAUGCUUUUCCGAAUGGGAGUCCUACUUCCAUCGAAGUUUACCUAAAAUAACCAAAAAGAAAGAAAGCAGACCUAGUCUUCAGCCACUCACUCUCCUGAGAGCCCAUUUUAUUUUCCUCGAGUACCUAUGAGAGGGAGUCACAGGCACAUUUGGGGGCUCAGUGUUGUGAGUUCACAGUGUACUUUGCUGCUAAGACGCUGUGCGAUUUGGGCGAGUUACUUAGGGUAUCUGUGCCUCUGACAACUCAUCUGUGAAGUGACCGUGAUGCUCAUGGCAGAUGGGACUUGCCUCAUGGGCGGUUGCGAGGCUUGACUGAGUUAAUAUGUCGAGAGACAGAGAGCGUGAACUUGGACCUGGACUCGUGCACAGAUUUCUAUGGGCAUCAGAGUACUUCCUGUCCUCGGGGAUUAGCCGUUGAUGUAACGUCCGCCUCCCUGGCUGACGGGCAAGCUUCGAGGUGGCAGGGGUCUUGCCCGUCUUCCUAGGAUGCUGCUGGACCAGGUAUUUAAUAAACAUUCAUCAAAUGACUGAGCAGGGUGUCAGGGGACCCUUGAGGCAGAGCAGCCCCUGAACAAGCAGGAAAGGAGGGAUUUUGGGCACAUGAGCUGAUGGAAAGUCAGUGUGGCCUCCAGUGGAAGGGAGACCAUCUGGGACCCCUUACUUGUCCAGUGUCCAGAAGGGGGCUGCUUCCCAAAGAACCACGCUUAUGAUCAACGGGAACCUUGGGAGGGAAGGGGAGACAAGGGGCGCACGUGGCUAUGCCAGCACCCUCUCCCUGCUUCCCUGGGACCCUGAGCCCCCAGAACAAAAUUAAGCCUCCAGUGUCUCUCCUGCCACAGUGGCUGUAGCACUUUCUUUCAAGUUAUGCCAGGAUCACCAAAGACCAGAAACAUGUUCUCUGGAGGCACUGAACCAGACGCAAAGUCUCCCCUGCACCCCCGUCGCAGCUCCUUAGAGCUGAGACCCCAGCUCAGAGGAGCAGGGUCCCUGGACCCCAGCCCUGCUGGGCAGUGGGUGGAGGCCAGGCGGCUGGAUUUGCCCGGGGGGCGAUCGGGGCUGGUGCGGAUGUGCGCCCACCGUUCCCAGUGAGCUCUGUUUGACAGGACGUAAUAAAACAUCUUUUAAUCUUUGUCACUGUGGGUAGGCGGAGAGGCCAAAAGUCUCCAUGUUUUAAAGGGAAAUUUUAAUUAGUAUGUAAAUUCGACUCACGGCAUUAAAAUGUCAUUUGCUAAGUAAAUGUUGCCGCGCUCCGAGUUCAGGUAUUUAUUUGAUCCUGUCCUGCCAAGGUGCCUUUGUGGGU